UACGGAGGGUGCAAGCGUUGUCCGGAAUCACUGGGCGUAAAGGGCGCGUAGGCGGCUCAUGAAGGCUGUGGUGAAAGUCCGGGGCUCAACCUCGGAUCGGCCGUGGCGACUCGUGGGCUGGAGCACUGUAGAGGCGGGUGGAAUUCCGGGUGUAGCGGUGGAAUGCGUAGAUAUCAAGUGGAACACCAGUGGCGAAGGCGAGUCCCUGGACAUUUCCUGACACUGAGGCACGAAAGCUAGGGGAGCAAACAGG
rnacentral:rRNA from 1 species